rnacentral:rRNA from 1 species
CCUACGGGAGGCAGCAGUGGGGAAUAUUGCACAAUGGGCGCAAGCCUGAUGCAGCCAUGCCGCGUGUGUGAAGAAGGCCUUCGGGUUGUAAAGCACUUUCAGCGGGGAGGAAGGCGUUAAGGUUAAUAACCUUGUCGAUUGACGUUACCCGCAGAAGAAGCACCGGCUAACUCCGUGCCAGCAGCCGCGGUAAUACGGAGGGUGCAAGCGUUAAUCGGAAUUACUGGGCGUAAAGCGCACGCAGGCGGUCUGUCAAGUCGGAUGUGAAAUCCCCGGGCUCAACCUGGGAACUGCAUUCGAAACUGGCAGGCUAGAGGCUUGUAGAGGGGGGUAGAAUUCCAGGUGUAGCGGUGAAAUGCGUAGAGAUCUGGAGGAAUACCGGUGGCGAAGGCGGCCCCCUGGACAAAGACUGACGCUCAGGUGCGAAAGCGUGGGGAGCAAACAGGAUUAGAUACCCUUGUAGUC